UACGAAGGGGGCUAGCGUUGCUCGGAAUCACUGGGCGUAAAGCGCACGUAGGCGGCUUUUUAAGUCAGGGGUGAAAUCCUGGAGCUCAACUCCAGAACUGCCUUUGAUACUGAGAAGCUUGAGUCCGGGAGAGGUGAGUGGAACUGCGAGUGUAGAGGUGAAAUUCGUAGAUAUUCGGAAGAACACCAGUGGCGAAGGCGGCUCACUGGCCCGGUUCUGACGCUGAGGUGCGAAAGCGUGGGGAGCAAACAGG
rnacentral:rRNA from 1 species